rnacentral:rRNA from 1 species
GAUAAGCGCCGGUAAGGUGAUAUGAACCGUUAUAACCGGCGAUACCCGAAUGGGGAAACCCAGUGUGACUCGUCACACUAUCAUUAACUGAAUCCAUAGGUUAAUGAGGCGAACCGGGGGAACUGAAACAUCUAAGUACCCCGAGGAAAAGAAAUCAACCGAGAUUCCCCCAGUAGCGGCGAGCGAACGGGGAGGAGCCCAGAGCCUGAAUCAGCAUGUGUGUUAGUGGAAGCGUCUGGAAAGGCGCGCGAUACAGGGUGACAGCCCCGUACACAAAAGCGCAUGUGCUGUGAGCUCGAUGAGUAGGGCGGGACACGUGGUAUCCUGUCUGAAUAUGGGGGGACCAUCCUCCAAGGCUAAAUACUCCUGACUGACCGAUAGUGAACCAGUACCGUGAGGGAAAGGCGAAAAGAACCCCGGCGAGGGGAGUGAAAAAGAACCUGAAACCGUGUACGUACAAGCAGUGGGAGCACCCUUUGGGGUGUGACUGCGUACCUUUUGUAUAAUGGGUCAGCGACUUAUAUUCUGUAGCAAGGUUAACCGAAUAGGGGAGCCGGAGGGAAACCGAGUCUUAACCGGGCGUUAAGUUGCAGGGUAUAGACCCGAAACCCGGUGAUCUAGCCAUGGGCAGGUUGAAGGUUGGGUAACACUAACUGGAGGACCGAACCGACUAAUGUUGAAAAAUUAGCGGAUGACCUGUGGCUGGGGGUGAAAGGCCAAUCAAACCGGGAGAUAGCUGGUUCUCCCCGAAAGCUAUUUAGGUAGCGCCUCGUGAAUUCAUCUCCGGGGGUAGAGCACUGUUUCGGCUAGGGGGCCAUCCCGGCUUACCAACCCGAUGCAAACUGCGAAUACCGGAGAAUGUUAUCACGGGAGACACACGGCGGGUGCUAACGUCCGUCGUGAAGAGGGAAACAACCCAGACCGCCAGCUAAGGUCCCAAAGUCAUGGUUAAGUGGGAAACGAUGUGGGAAGGCCCAGACAGCCAGGAUGUUGGCUUAGAAGCAGCCAUCAUUUAAAGAAAGCGUAAUAGCUCACUGGUCGAGUCGGCCUGCGCGGAAGAUGUAACGGGGCUAAACCAU